CACUACCCUAGUUGCGAGAAGAUACUCUUAACGCCAAUUCAUCUUUCUCCUAUAUAUAUCAUAACUCUCUUUAGUGCAUAUGCAUACUUCCAAGCUAGGCAUGGUACUUACAACAUCGAAAGAAAUGGCGAAGGCACACACAAUUCUUAUAGCACUUAGCAUAGCAGCUCUGUUCUCCUUCAAUGCUGUGGAGGGUGGAUCAUACACGAGAGAAGCAGUACUUUCUCGCAAAGGUUUGAAAGAAGAACGCAAGCUAGCCACUAGUGGACUGAGUCCGUCAUCCGCUAGCAGUUUGCCAGGACUGGCAUCUAGCAAUAACAAUGGUGUUAACAGCAACUCUGAAGGCACAAAUACUGAUAUGUCAGGCGCUGGUGCAGCUUAUACCCCGAUGACCACCACCGCAGAUUCCCACCAUGACCUCUCGGUGGAUCAGUACCGAAGGAUCAUCCACAACAAUCAGAUCAAACAAUGAUGAAGGAUUGGUACAUCAGAGCAGACAUCAUCAAAUCACUAUAAUAUUUUCUAUUAUGGAGCCAACUAUAUAUAGUUUGCACCAUUAAUUGUCAUAAGUUGAACCUGUGUGGAGGUGUGUAACCAAACUUGCACUACAUGAUGUCUACUGUACGUGUGACAGUUAUUUUACUUGUACUAUACAUCCAUCUCAAACACUGGAUUCUCAAGGUUUUCCUAUGCUCAUGCAUGUAAUGACAUGUAUAUUGGACUAGAGCAAAUAAAGCAGGUGUCUAUGCUCUAAAGUAAUGGUUUAAUAACAUUAAGGGUUUCUGUGAAAA